rnacentral:rRNA from 1 species
UACGUAGGGUGCAAGCGUUGUCCGGAAUUAUUGGGCGUAAAGAGCUCGUAGGCGGUCUGUCACGUCGGCUGUGAAAACCCGAGGCUCAACCUCGGGCCUGCAGUCGAUACGGGCAAACUAGAGUACUGCAGGGGAGACUGGAAUUCCUGGUGUAGCGGUGAAAUGCGCAGAUAUCAGGAGGAACACCGGUGGCGAAGGCGGGUCACUGGGCCGUAACUGACGCUGGAGGAGCGAAA